UUAUCGAGACUUCUCGACUAGCCUUGCAAGCCGCAUACUAGUACUAUGUGCCACGUCUCAACAAGGCAUACAUUUGCCUUUAGACCAUUAUUCAGCUAUUUCUCUCGUUUUCCCUGUGUCUUCAUUCUGCUUUCCUCUAGCUAAUUAGAUCGGAAUUUGAUCGAAGAUGGGGAGGAAGAAGCUGGAGAUGAAGCUAAUCGAAGACAAAAGCAGCCGUCAAGUGACUUUCUCCAAAAGACGAAACGGAUUGAUAAAAAAGGCUCGCGAACUCUCCGUUCUCUGCGAUGUUCAAAUCGGUGUUAUCGUCUUCUCCAACAGCGGGAAGCUAUAUGAAUUCUGUAGCACCGGCAGUUUUGCGAAGUUUUUAAAAGAUUACCAAAGGCAUCUUGAACUGGAAGCUACUUCUAUGGAAGGUGCUAAACAUAAAAAGAUGUAUCAAGUGGAUUAUUCAAGCUUUAAGUCAUAUGCAGAGCUACUGAAAGUAGUUGAAACGCAGCUUGAAGGUCCAAACAGUAAGCAGCUUAGUUUGGUUGACAUUCUCGAAUUGGAGAAUCAAUUCACGGCCACAUUGACACAAGUCAGAGCCAAAAAGAGGUUUUUGCAGACAGAAUUGAUGUUGGACUUUUUAAAGGCCCUCAAAAAGAAGAUUAUGUUAGAUUGUUCUGUGCAAUCUCUUGACAGGAAAUUAUGCUGAAAGAGGAAAAUGCUCUUCUAGAGAGGGAGGUAAGAAUAUGGAAUUGAAAGAUUAUGCUUUUUCAGGUUGAAGAAAUGAAGAAUGGCGUUGACAUGGAGAGAAGGCUUAGAAACCACCCAUACCUCCAUUUGGUUAAUUCUCCGCGACAAGCAACUCUAAGUUUACUUCACUAAUCAGGUAGGCUUCCUAUUCUUGCUGCCAAGUGAUGUGUCCCACCGCUUCUGUGUUUGUUGUCUUAUUAAUUUGUCACCUUAUUACUUGAAGUAGGAUUCCUCCUUGCUCCCAACUAUCUUCAUCUAUGGCUCCACCAUCUUUGAUCAAGUGGUAUCCCUCGCUAUUGACUAUAAAGUUUGUAUGACAUAUGAUAUUAUGUUCUGAUGAUUCGUCAUAAUAUGCAAUAACUUGUGUGCAAGACAUAUUGGUUGAUAAGUAGCAGGAGCUUGUGCUUAUUUGGGAUUCAUGCAAGAAUGGGUUUUUAUUGAUUUAAUGUAUGUCAUAAAUAUUUCUCAU